rnacentral:rRNA from 1 species
UCUUCUGCACUCCAGUCUUCCAGUUUCCAAUGUUAGUGGCGGACGGGUGAGUAACACGUGGGCAACCUGCCUGUAAGUUGGGGAUAACUCCGGGAAACCGGGGCUAAUACCGAAUGAUAAAGUGUGGCGCAUGCCACGCUUUUGAAAGAUG